UAUUUUAAUUUUUCAGUUUCGACCCCGUUUGGUCACCGAAAACUGUACCGAACUGUAAUCUUUAUCAGAUAGCUGUCGGAUUUUAUUUCUCACUUUUCGGGUGUCAGAAAAAUAUGAAGCUUUAAAUCUAGCCUCAUAAAAAUAUUUCUGACAUCUCCGCCAAUUUUCAUAAUUUUCUGACACUGUGCAUUUUCUGCUAAUUUAUCUGCCCCGUUUCUUACAGAAAAUUCUAAAUCUUCUGUUUUCGCUCCGAUUUCACCACAGGUCAUUCCCAACAUAUAUUUCAGUUCUCUAAAUCCAAUAAAAAUAGUAUCUCAUACUAUUUUUAUUUAUUUUCACUUUUAUAUUUAAAAUUCGGUAUGUUACAUUCCACCGCAACCUCACCGGACCCAUUUAAAUAUACACCGUAACUUCAUAGUUUUAGAAAUCCGGUACCUUACAUCGCUCAUACUAUUUUUAUUUAUUUUCACUUUUAUAUUUAAAAUCCGGUAUGUUACGUUUCACCGCAACCUCACCGGACCCAUUUAAAUAUACACCGUUACAUCAUAAUUUUAGAAGUCCGGUACCUUACAUCCUCCCCUCCUUAAUAAGAGUUUUGUCCCCGAAACUCACUCACUUCAACCCAAUUCACACUCUAAUUCUCUUUAUUGAGUGACAAGGGGUACAAUGCACUUUUGCAUCUCGUAGUGGCCUUUCACUCAUUGGAACUAUCCAAAGGCCCACUACGAAGGACGUGAGACUAGAUUCACUCACAUUUGCCUUGUGUAAGUCCAAAAGUGCAUUACGGGUCUCCGUCAUUCUUGGUGGUAGCGCAAGUUGAAACUCAACGACACUACGCGCUUCAACACCAUUCACCACUUGACAUGCAAGAACUUUUCUUUGCAUUUACUUUCUCCUCAGGGUAUUACAAUUCGAUUACCAACCUUGCUUGAAGGCAAUAUCAUUGUGCAUCGCUUCAUCGUGAGUGUUCAAAUCGCAUUUGGAUCUUUGCUCUAUCAAGAGAUGGCCCACUCCGGCGCAUCUCGAUUCUGAAUCCUUAAUAGAGCAUUAUCCUCAAGUUCCCCAAUUCCUCAAACAUAACCCAGCCUGCCUGGGCAAUUUUUGUGCAGAGGGACCGGUCCUCCUGAUAAGGGACCGGUCCCCGAGAGCCUUCAGCCUGAACACACCUACGGGAACCAGUCUGCCCUUAGAGGACCGGUCCCCUGGAGACCGGUCCGUUCACCAGAGACCGGUCCCCGAGAGCUUGCUCUCGCAGGACUUAGCCAAUUUUCUCUUCUCGCUGGUUACGUUUACGGGGACCGGUCCCUCUGGCCCAGGGACCGGUUGCAUCACGCAACCCCGCAACCACCAGCUACGGGGACCGGUCCUUCCCUGCCUGGGACCGGUCCCCGAGAGCAAAUCUGC
rnacentral:lncRNA from 1 species